GGCUCAAUCUCUGGUCCUGCAGCC
rnacentral:miRNA from 1 species